CCUGGGUCAGAUUGAACACACACAGGGAAGGCACCUGUCAGGAAGGCUGGAAGGAAAACAGCCCACUGUGUGCGUCUGUGACAUGUGACCCUGCCAGGGAGGACUGCUCCUGACAGUGAGCCAAACUGGGUCUCUGCCGUGCAACUUGUGCCCAGGAGGAAGGAGGAGCCACUCUAUAAUGCGGGUAUAGACAAAAUUCCAAGGGAACACAGCUCAACAGCCAUCCUAUGCGGGGAGCCAGGGACGAAAGAAGCUGGGAAUGUUUUGGAAGAUACAACGUUAGAGGUCACCUUGACUGGCUCUCACACCCUGAAAGGGCAAUCAGCUGGGAACACUAUCUCUAGAAACCCAGCCUGCUGAUUAGAC
rnacentral:lncRNA from 1 species